rnacentral:rRNA from 1 species
UACGUAGGGGGCUAGCGUUGUCCGGAAUCAUUGGGCGUAAAGCGCGUGUAGGCGGUCCGGUAAGUCCGCUGUGAAAGUCGGGGGCUCAACCCUCGAAUGCCGGUGGAUACUGUCGGGCUAGAGUGCGGAAGAGGCGAGUGGAAUUCCUGGUGUAGCGGUGAAAUGCGCAGAUAUCAGGAGGAACACCAAUUGCGAAGGCAGCUCGCUGGGACGUUACUGACGCUGAGACGCGAAAGCGUGGGGAGUAAACAGG